rnacentral:lncRNA from 1 species
AGUGCCACAGAUAGGAAACAGCUGUUAAUUACAAAGAGAAAGAAUUGUCAUAGCAUCUUAUUUUGUUCCUAGUUUUAUAACAUUACCAUCCUUCGUUUUGAACUACAGAUGUUGUAGUGGGUUUUGGAGGAGGGAGUGGAGUAAGAUGCCCUCCCACUUUUAUCAGUUUAGUAGUAGUACUGAGAAAAAUCCCUUCAGCUCUAAGAACACUGAAAAAUCCACCGAUUUUUUGGGUAAGCUUCUUGGCAAUACCCUGUGGAUCUGAAUGAACUUUAGUUCAGGGCUAAAUCAGGGAGAAAGUAAUCCUAUAGAACUUCUGUUUAACAAAAGAAAUUAAACUUUU